AUCACAAUACAUUAGUGAGUGCCUGGUAUUAACUUUCUCUACAUGAUAAAUGCCAUUUCCUGAAGUGAGAGACAACCCCUUUAAGGAUUUUUCUUCUAUGGAUAGUGAACACUGAAUUCACAGGUAAAACCAUUUUGGGUUCAUAUAUUCAAGUACCAUAUGCAUUCUAUAAAUACGGGGGGGAGGGGAAUAAGCAGGAAAGCCUCAUGUAGUUUUGCAGUGCAUAUAUGUUGUACAGUUCUAGUACCCAAUCUGACAAAAUGGUCGACGUGUAUGACGAUAAAUAGACAAUAUUGUAACUCGUAAUUAUUUGUGGAAUAUGCAAACUGUCAUGUGACCUCAGAGGAAAAGCCACCAGUCUAUAUCCGUAGCCGUUCUGUAGAGAAAUCAGCCUCUUGUGCAAUAACUGCUCCGCAAAACACAACGUUUGACGACUAAGCUUUUCAUUCUGUGUUACGCGAGUAAGUUGCCGUUCUCCGUGUGACCGUGGGUUAUAAAUAUAUAUUAUAUAUAUUUUGUGCUGAAGACUCAGCGGUUUGAUAAACAAUGUAUAUUAUCUUGUAAAUUUAAUGUUGAAAAGUAGCGUUGUUCUUAUAGAAAUGUGUUCAUUUGACGGGUUUUGCUUCUAGCACUUUAACUUUUUUUUUUAUUCUUUGGAAACCUAUAAAAAGCCAAAAGGAAUAGCUUGUAGGUCUUACAACUAGGCAAUCAAUCGCCCCCUUCUCUCCUUCAUCUGUUUAGGAUACUGCCAGUCUGUUCGGCAGAGGCAGCUGUGCAUUAAUGAGGUUUUCCCAGCUGAUAAUGUAAUGGUCUCUCACCGUGGUAUGCCAUCCCUUUAUGAUCUGCGGGCGUCUGACCUCUGGGACUCUUUGAUCCUGAGGAUGAAGGGGCUGCACUAUGAUUUUCCCUGUGCAGCAACUUUACCAGCCACCCUCUAUGCAGGGAACUGCAGGUGCACUUCAAUGAGACCGUGCUGCAGUUCCCCAUACAGUGGCGGUCAGGCGCUAUAGUGCAGGGAAAAACUGUGCUUCAUCAGAGCAGCGGCCUCUUCAUUCUAAGGAUCAGUGGCUCAAAGAUCAUAAAGUGAUAUCCUAGAAGUAUGCCACCUGUCAGCCAGUGUCAUAGGGACAAAACUGCUGACAGAUGCCCUUUUAAGAGGAUAUGUUCACAUACAGUUGUUUUCAGUGUUGAUUUUGGCGCUGAUGCACCCUCUAAAACCACACCAAAAAUGCUCACAAUGUAUCUCCAUUCCAUUAAAUGGGGAAACCAUUUAUUAAUUCAUAAGGAGUGUUUCUUUUUCACUUGCGGUUUUAACAACCACCCCGCAGUAAAAAGCAGCGCCAUGUCCGUUCUUGACGCGGAUUCGUCAUCCAAAGUUCCCAUUGAUAUGGGCAGGAUGAAAAACUACAUAAAAAACUUAUGAAAAACCGCAUCGGAAUAAAAAGCUGCAUCCUAAAAUACUGAGUAAGUGGAUUCCACAUCACGUUUUUUUUUCAGCACAGAAAAAAACUGUGAACAUACUGAUAGUGUCAAGAUCACACAAUCCGUAAAAUAUGAGACACGGUAUCUGCACAGCUGCUGAAGUCCUGCUGCAUGUUACAUCUAUGGUGAACGUCCGCCGCCUGUCAUCUGGAAGAGGGGAGAAAAAUAACUAUAAAGAAAAAUUUUAAAAAAGGGAAGCCGUUCUAACGAUACGUUGCUAAUGCUGAAUGUGAAUAGAAAUACAGGGCAUCACUUUUCUCUCUGUAUAUAGUGCUGUCCUCCUGCUAGGCCUGAUGUAGAAUACGUGUAAAUAUAUCCGCAUUUCCCCCCUCUGGUCUUCCACAGCACUAUUAUUGUCUUUGUGGAUUUAAGACUAUUACUAAUCCUGUUACGGAUUUGAAGUACUAUAAGGUCAUAGUGAUAUAAUAUAAAUAUAUGUAUAAAUAUAUAUAGUAAAUAAAUUAAUGUAUAUUA